rnacentral:rRNA from 1 species
CCUACGGGUGGCAGCAGUGGGGAAUAUUGCACAAUGGGGGAAACCCUGAUGCAGCGACGUCGCGUGAGUGAUGAAGUCCUUCGGUAUGUAAAGCUCUAUCAGCCGGGAAGAAAAUGACGGUACCUGUCUAAGAAUCCCUGGCUAACUCCGUGCCAGCAGCCGCGGUAAUACGAAGGGGGCACGGGUUAUCCGGAUUUACUGGGUGUAAAGGGAGCGUAGGCGGCGGUGCAAGCCAGGUGUGAAAGCCCGGGGCUCAACCCCGUGAUUGCAGUUGAAACUGUGCUGCUAGAGUGUCGGAGAGGCAGGCGGAAUUCGUAGUGUAGCGGUGAAAUGCGUAGAUAUGAGGAGGAACACCAGUGGCGAAGGCGGCCUGCUGGACGAUGACUGACGUUGAGGCUCGAAAGCGUGGGGAGCAAACAGGAUUAGAUACCCUUGUAGUC